UACGGGGGGGGCAAGCGUUGUUCGGAAUUACUGGGCGUAAAGGGCUCGUAGGCGGCCAACUAAGUCAGACGUGAAAUCCCUCGGCUUAACCGGGGAACUGCGUCUGAUACUGGAUGGCUUGAGUUCGGGAGAGGGAUGCGGAAUUCCAGGUGUAGCGGUGAAAUGCGUAGAUAUCUGGAGGAACACCGGUGGCGAAGGCGGCAUCCUGGACCGACACUGACGCUGAGGAGCGAAAGCCAGGGGAGUAAACGGG
rnacentral:rRNA from 1 species